AGCACUGCGCGUAUGCUCGACCUUUCGGACGGGACGUCUUUUGUGUAAGCGUUUAUUUCUCCGCGCAUUGUUCCGGCGGGUCGGACGUCGCGUGGAUAAAACUCGAAAGAUUUCCGGUCGAACGAAAACGCAAUACGCGAAAUCGCAUAAAAACGCAACGGUAAUAUGACGGGCGCCGGGGUUUUUAUUUUUUUCUUACCCCCUCUGAGCACUGCGAUCGGAUAAAACGCGUGCGACUCCGGUCUGCGAUUUGCCUCGGAAGCAAGAACGGCCAUCUUC